AGAGAUGUGAGGCAUAACUGAGAAUGAAGGACUGUAAGGGAGGAGUGGAAAAAGAAAAGGAUGGUUGGAAGUAAGGAAGAAUACGUAUCAAAGAGAAGAUUGCAAAAAGGCAUGUUCAUCAACAGACUCCAUGUCAACAAUUGAUAUGAAGCUUCAAAUGGACCAGAAAACAGGAUACAGGAGGAAACAAGGUGACCUUAGCUGAAAGGCAGCAAGACACUUAUAUUAGCCAUCAUAUCAGAAACCUUAUGCAGAAUCAAACUGUGUAUCAGAGGCAAGAAAAACAUAGAGCUUCUGGUUAACAAAUAAGGAGGAAAGAAAUACAACAUUAACAAGAACUGGUAAAAAGCAACUUCAUUAGUUGCAAAAUUCUUCGAGAGAGGGAAAACUUUAAAACUGAAGACAAAUGAAAAGAACAAAGUUAGAGAGACUAGACUAUUUCAGGUGAACAAAAUAUUAUUAUACCAUAAACCUAAAUAUUAUUAUACCAUAUACUAAGAAAUUUCUCAUUUUCAUUAAUGACUG
rnacentral:lncRNA from 1 species